CUGAAAUUUUAAAGGGCCGCAGUAUUUUAACUGUGCAAAGGUAGCAUAAUAAUUAGUUUCUUAAUUAGAAGCUUGUAUGAAUGGUUGAACGAGAAAUUUACUGUCUCAAUUUAUAAAUUAAAAUUUUAUUUUUAAGUUAAAAAGCUUAAAUAUAUUUAAAAGACGAGAAGACCCUAUAGAGUUUUAUAAUUAUUAAUAUUUAAAAAUUAGAAUUUUAUUUUUAUUUAUAAUUAUUUUAUUGGGGUGAUAUAUAAAUUUAAUAAACUUUAUAUUUUUAUUAACAUUAAUUAAUGAUAAAUUGAUCCAUAAUAAUGAUUAAAAGAAAAAAUUACCUUAGGGAUAACAGCGUAAUUUUUUUUUAGAGUUCUAAUCGAAAAAAAAGAUUGCGACCUCGAUGUUGGAUUAAAAUUAAUUUUUGGUGUAGAAGCUAAAAUAUUAGGUCUGUUCGACCUUUAAAAUUUUACAUGAUCUGAGUUUAAACCGGCGUGAGCCAGGUUGGUUUCUAUCUUUAAAUAAAAUAAAUAUUUUAGUACGAAAGGACCAAGUAUUUUUAAAAUUUAAUUUUUUUUGAAUA
rnacentral:rRNA from 1 species